rnacentral:rRNA from 1 species
CGCAUAUCAAAAAGCGGAGGAAAAGAAACCAACCGGGAUUGCCUUAGUAACGGCGAGUGAAGCGGCAAGAGCUCAAAUUUGAAAUCUGGUACCAUUCGGUGCCCGAGUUGUAAUUUGGAGAGAGCGAUUCUGGGGCUGGCGCUUGCCUAUGUUCCUUGGAACAGGACGUCAUAGAGGGUGAGAACCCCGUGAGGCGAGAUGUACCAGUUCUUUGUAGAGCGCUCUCGAAGAGUCGAGUUGUUUGGGAAUGCAGCUCUAAGAGGGUGGUAAAUUCCAUCUAAAGCUAAAUACAGGCGAGAGACCGAUAGCGAACAAGUACAGUGAUGGAAAGAUGAAAAGAACUUUGAAAAGAGAGUGAAAAAGGACGUGAAAUUGUUGAAAGGGAAGGGCAUUUGAUCAGACAUGGUGUUUUGUGCCCCUCGCUCCUCGUGGGUGGGGGAAUCUCGCAGCUCACUGGGCCAGCAUCAGUUUUGGUGGCAGGAGAAAGCCUCGGGAAUGUGACUCUUGCCUUUUUGGCGGGGGUGUUAUAGCCCGAGGGGAAUACUGCCAGCCGGGACUGAGGUAUGCGACUCUCGUAGUCAAGGAUGUGCAUAGACAGACGAU